rnacentral:rRNA from 1 species
UACGGAGGGGGCUAGCGUUGUUCGGAAUUACUGGGCGUAAAGCGCACGUAGGCGGCUUUGUAAGUUAGAGGUGAAAGCCCGGGGCUCAACUCCGGAAUUGCCUUUAAGACUGCAUCGCUCGAAUUGUGGAGAGGUAAGUGGAAUUCCGAGUGUAGAGGUGAAAUUCGUAGAUAUUCGGAAGAACACCAGUGGCGAAGGCGACUUACUGGACACAUAUUGACGCUGAGGUGCGAAAGCGUGGGGAGCGAACAGG